rnacentral:rRNA from 1 species
CCUACGGGUGGCAGCAGUGAGGAAUAUUGGUCAAUGGACGAGAGUCUGAACCAGCCAAGUAGCGUGAAGGAUGACUGCCCUAUGGGUUGUAAACUUCUUUUAUAUGGGAAUAAAACGUUCCACGUGUGGGAUUUUGUAUGUACCAUAUGAAUAAGGCUCGGCUAACUCCGUGCCAGCAGCCGCGGUAAUACGGAGGAUCCGAGCGUUAUCCGGAUUUAUUGGGGUUAAAGGGAGCGUAGGUGGAUUGUUAAGUCAGUUGUGAAAGUUUGCGGCUCAACCGUAAAAUUGCAGUUGAAACUGGCAGUCUUGAGUACAGUAGAGGUGGGCGGAAUUCGUGGUGUAGCGGUGAAAUGCUUAGAUAUCACGAAGAACUCCGAUUGCGAAGGCAGUUCACUGGACUGCAACUGACACUGAGGCUCGAAAGUGUGGGUAUCAAACAGGAUUAGAUACCCGAGUAGUC